UGAUGAACGCUGGCGGCGUGCUUAACACAUGCAAGUCGAACGAUGAACCCCAGCUUGCUGGGGGGAUUAGUGGCGAACGGGUGAGUAACACGUGAGUAACCUGCCCUUGACUCUGGGAUAAGCCUGGGAAACUGGGUCUAAUACCGGAUAUGACCUUUCACCGCAUGGUGGGGGGUGGAAAGCUUUUGUGGUUUUGGAUGGACUCGCGGCCUAUCAGCUUGUUGGUGGGGUAAUGGCCUACCAAGGCGAUGACGGGUAGCCGGCCUGAGAGGGUGACCGGCCACACUGGGACUGAGACACGGCCCAGACUCCUACGGGAGGCAGCAGUGGGGAAUAUUGCACAAUGGGCGCAAGCCUGAUGCAGCGACGCCGCGUGAGGGAUGACGGCCUUCGGGUUGUAAAAC
rnacentral:rRNA from 1 species